CGUCUUCAAAGUCCAACCACAACUCCUCCUUCCCCCGCCGUCUUUUAUGCCGACGCAUCCUACCCUCCUCUUGAAACAGGCGCGCACAAAUCCUUCCUUCCUCGCAUGUCCGUCGCCGCCGCUGCCGCCGCCAGCACCGGCCACCUCGCCCCAGGCGCGGGACAGAUCUAGGAAUCAGGAGGGGAUGGACGGAGUAUGGCGAACAGGCCGACGGGAUGUGCUCUCUCCUCCCGCUACCAAGGCCCGUGGGCGGGGCGCCCGACCUCUAGACGACGCCGGCGAUAACCAAGGACGGAUGUGCAUCCUGGCAUCUCAGCUCAAGAUGUGUCCAAUUCAUCUCUCCGUGAAGAGGAUUAGCUCCACGACGCCCGCGCCGAACAGCCGAUCAGGAAACCAUCUCCGCCUCCCUGCUUCUUCCCUUCUCUCUGGUUAUCCUGAGAUGGCCCGGCUAGGUGCCGGCCCGACGACACCUCCCCCGCCCAGGCCCUCCAUCGGCUCAAGAUCCGGGCCCCGCCGUGUUGCCGCUCCCAUCUCCCUGCAUCUUCCCGAGAUGGUCCGGCUGGGCGCUGCCCCAUGACCAAGCAUGUGCUGUCCACGGAAGCCGGCUCCUCCACCCAAGCUUUCCUCUGCAAGGUCGGUGAGGACACCCUUCGUAUGAACCGAUCGUGAUAAUCAUGCACAGGUACACACAUUGACACAUACUCCCUCCGUCCGAAAAUACUUGUCUAGAAUAUCUAGACAAGUAUUUUCGGAUGGAGGGAGUACAUGUUUUCCCCACUGAUUUAAUUCGAAUUCAGUUGUCCGUCUCCAUCUCCAAACGGAGCAGAGCCGUCCAGCACACAACGUGAUUUGCAGAUCUAAGGAGGAGGGUGAGGAGGCUGCUGGUGGGUAGGAUGAACAUCGCAGGGAACGAGCAUGCUAGCCGUCCGUCUCGACGUUAUAGAAUCUGAUAAUCUUCUUUUGGUUUUCUUAUAUGUCCGCAGUGGCACUAUGGUGGAUUGGAAUCAUGCCAUGAAGCAGAAGAAGAGGAGGUUUGUUCGCCAUCAAGCCAACCUUGCACUGCUGCACCACGUCUCGCAACAGUUAAGCUAGCUGUUUGUCCUCAAGCUAUUCUGUCUUCUAAUUGUAAGUGGCAAAUCGUAGAAGUGAAGUCCAUCAACAGCAUGGAUGAAAACAAGCUCUGGUAUAAAAUAAGUGAACAGGUAUGCCUUGAAUUAUAGUUUCCACCUAAUCACGUUUAAUCUAUACACCUUAUUACAUAUAUUAAGAUCACAAAAUACUACUGCUGUACUGCAGAGAACUUACGUAUGUAGUGGUUAUAGUCUUAUAGAUGUCAAUGGACCAUCAGAAUCUGGUGGACCAAGGAUACUUUCAUCAUAAUAGAACUUAUGGACAUGCACUGGUGACGAACCCAAAAGUCUAUAGUAUUGUUGAGCAAACACAUUCCCAAUCUGUCAGCAAGACCAAUCAUGUUUAACAAUACUGCUAUUAUUCUAGAUUAAUAAUAAAUAAGAUGGAUAAAAACAGUACCACAUCCGGAUGAGAAGGACGUACGAAAUUCCCAGUUGGUGUAGACAUUGCUGCACAAUAGAUGACACUGAUUAGUAUCUAAUGUUUUGAGGCGAAUGAAUAUUUUGUUUGACGAUUGAGCAGAAUUGUUUGGCACACUGUAACGUUUCAGGCAUUCAGAAACAAUGCCCAUGAUGUUAAUAUGUUCGCUAGGGGCCUUUUGUAGCCACUUUAAUGAAAAUUGUAGUACCACAGUGUCCUGCUGCAUAUAUUAAAUUGCAAAGUGAAAGUAAAAAAAAAGGAUUUCCAUCAGUGAGUAAGCUGGUGCCAUGUUUCAAGGAACAGAGUUCAAAAACCAUCAAUCUCAGGAACACUCUGACUAUGUAUUUAAUUCUGUUGAAGACCCAAUAUAUGAUAAGUUGCUAUUUUCAUUUGCUAGGCAACCAUCCAAAAGUUUCUGUCCAAUUCAUAAUUUAAAUUACUCUUGUGUGUUCUUUUAUCCAGUUAUUAUAAUUUUACUCAAUAAUAAUAUAAAUGGGUUAUUUUCUGUGUCUUGCUCUUUUCUGUUCUCUUUGGUUUUGCAGCCUAGAAUUUUUUAACAUGCACAUAUAACUUAGUCAACUGAGUUCCUUUAUGCUAUGUGGCAGACCACAUUUACUGAUAUGACUUACUUUCUCAUUCUAGAUAAAUGGCAGGUGUAGCAAUGAAAGGCAUGUAUAUUGUACUACAAACAUCCUAGCUUUCUCAUCUUAUCAGUGACUCACUUUCGAAACAUAUGUAUUGGUAGUUUUUAUCUCUAUGCUUUUGCCUUCUACAUAAUGGAUUGCAAUGUUUUUGUCUUGAUCCAAUCCUUCCUGCGUCCACGGGGUGUCCUGCAGGGACUGCUUUAGCCGUUCCAGAGGCUGUACGCACAUAUAAAUACUCAAGUACUCCCUUGACCGAAGCCCCAGCCCAAUUGCGUCAUUUCGUCCGUGCUCGACAUUGGUGUCUUGCCGUUCUGCCGGAGCCGUGGAAAUCUCACUGUUCUGCCAACCUGGCCGGAAUUUCUCCGUAGUGCCGACUUCAUUGGAAUUACAUCCACUCGUGUAGCCAAGUUACGUGAAUUUACAGUGCUACAUUUUUUACUGGAAGAACUAUUUGAAGGAGAUUGUGAGAGUACUGACCUGCAGUUUGUCUUCUUGGUAUGACUGUAGUUUACUGGUUGUUUCUCCUUUUCUUUACUGAAGUUCCAGUAUCUUUGUUGUGAUCUGGUUGUUACUGACUGGAAUUUUAGUAAAAUGAACACUGUAAAAUUCAUCAAAGCUGAAUAUGUGCUACACUUUAAAAGUUACUGUUUAUUCAUAGUUAGUUUACUGUAAAUUUCAACUGAAGCCACUGUGUUUAAAGCUUCAUGGCAAUGAAAUGUUUAGUAUGUGAUUAGUUCAUCUUGAGUUGAUCAUUGUACAGUAGGUUGAUGAUGUUUUUGCGGCAGCCUAAUGAUGAAUUUAUAGUAUGUUUGUGUUCAGGAGUUUCUUCCACAAGUAUCAACUUCAGAUCCUUUAGAAUGCCAUGAGAAUUUCAGGUUUUCUUCCAAAAGUGUUGUGAAGAAAACAAAACUGUCAAUAACCUGGAGAAGGUAGUGAGAGUACUGACCUAGCAGUGUUGCUUUUUGGGCCCUUUCAUUGCUUGCUCAUGGAUCAUAGAGCCCAUAGCUCAUACAUACACGAGCCAUGUUUGUAGUGCCUGAAAAUAUUGGUUGAAUGCCCCGUUAUUUUCAGUCAAGUUUUUUUUCAGUUGGUGUCAGAUUUUUACUGGUUGGCAUAUUUGAUUUGAAGGCCAAUUCAAUUUCAGUCGAUUGUAAUAUAGAUACACCUUUUUUUUAAUACCAAACUGUUCUUUAUGGGGGAA